rnacentral:rRNA from 1 species
CGAGAGAGAGCUUGCUUUCUCGAGCGAGUGGCGAACGGGUGAGUAACGCGUGAGGAACCUGCCUCAAAGAGGGGGACAACAGUUGGAAACGACUGCUAAUACUGCAUAAGCCCACGGGUCGGCAUCGACCAGAGGGAAAAGGAGCAAUCCGCUUUGAGAUGGCCUCGCGUCCGAUUAGCUAGUUGGUGAGGUAACGGCCCACCAAGGCAACGAUCGGUAGCCGGACUGAGAGGUUGAAAGGCCACAUUGGGACUGAGACACGGCCCAGACUCCUACGGGAGGCAGCAGUGGGGAAUAUUGCACAAUGGGGGAAACCCUGAUGCAGCGACGCCGCGUGGAGGAAGAAGGUCUUCGGAUUGUAAACUCCUGUUGUUGGGGAAGAUAAUGACGGUACCCAACAAGGAAGUGACGGCUAACUACGUGCCAGCAGCCGCGGUAAAACGUAGGUCACAAGCGUUGUCCGGAAUUACUGGGUGUAAAGGGAGCGCAGGCGGGAAGACAAGUUGGAAGUGAAAUCUAUGGGCUCAACCCAUAAACUGCUUUCAAAACUGUUUUUCUUGAGUAGUGCAGAGGUAGGCGGAAUUCCCGGUGUAGCGGUGGAAUGCGUAGAUAUCGGGAGGAACACCAGUGGCGAAGGCGGCCUACUGGGCACCAACUGACGCUGAGGCUCGAAAGUGUGGGUAGCAAACAGGAUUAGAUACCCUGGUAGUCCACACCGUAAACGAUGAUUACUAGGUGUUGGAGGAUUGACCCCUUCAGUGCCGCAGUUAACACAAUAAGUAAUCCACCUGGGGAGUACGACCCGCAGGUUGAAACUCAAAGGAAUUGACGGGGGC